rnacentral:lncRNA from 1 species
UGGCCUGGUGAAGCCCUCACAGACCCUCUCCCUUACCUGCGCUGUGUCUGUGUUCCCCAUGAUAACGAGGUCUUCCUGCUGAAGCUGGAUCCAUCAGCCCCCCAGGGAAGGGAAUGGAGUGGAUUGGGUGCAUAGGUCAUGAAGGGAGCACACAUUACCACCCACUCCUCAAGUGUCCAGUCACCAUCCCCAGAUCCGUGUCCAAAAAAGCAGUUCUUCCUACAGCUGAGCUACAUGAGCAACAAGCACAUAGCCAUGUAUUUUUAAGC